GUUAUUGUUAAACGGAAGGACCAGUAUUUUAGGAAGACAAAUGGUUGGGACUUUGAAACGGCUGAUAUGCUUUAUGUAAAGCAGUGUUUUGGUGUCAGCAGAACGACUUUCCCUAGAAAACUGUACAGUGGUGCCUCUUUCUCCAUUCAACCAGACAAUCUUGAGUCUGACAUACAUGCAAUGUUGACAACGUAUCAUCAGAUGUACCCUUGUGUCACUGAGGUUGAAUGUUUUGCCAUGACAUGUAAACGGGUAACAUAUAUGAAUAUAACUUACUCAAUCGAUAGAUGCAGAGCAUAAAAGGUCAGCAUAUGUUCAUGCUAAGUGGUGUGGAAACACUAACAGGUUUGAGGAACCCGUCCUUGACCCUCUAGCAGAACUACGACCAGCCAUUAUAAAGCAGUUUAUAGUUGUUAAUGUUGUGUCAAAGGGUACGGCAUUUAAACAUGUUCUUGCACACGUUUCCUGGCUUCAUCUCCACCCGGACAGACAUUUUUAUGGAAAGCCAAUAGAAGUUUGGGGCUUGCAGGGAACAGACACGUCCUACCCAGCAUCAUUUCUGCCAGUUGAGCGCAUUGCUAGAAGAUGUGUGGUUAAUACAUCCUCUGUGCAUUUAAGUAAGACCAAAGAAAAGCUCACUGUAGUCCUGCCACUAUGCACUGUAGUUGAGCUCUAGGAGACUGUGAUCUCUGCAGACCCCUCAUGCUGAUUCAAAUGUUGUUUGCAUGGAAUGCUCAUUUUGCCUUGAUUAAAACUCAUUUUUUAAAGAAGUUAUUUUGUGUAUCUUUUUUACAUAACAUUUGCCAUUGCUAAUGGCGUACACAGUAAUCUAGCAUAUCUGAAUUAAAUAAAUCAAUUCAAGCCAAAAUGUAAGAGUCUAUAAUUAGGCUACUGAGCCUGAUCUAUUUGUACCAGAGAUUUUCUUACCUUUUAAAAAAAUGUCACCUGGGCUAAAACUCCCUCUGCGACCCUGAUUUGCAUUUGUAUAGCUCACAGCAUUUUCAUUUACAUGUCAAAGCCUCCCCUAGAAAUAGGAGGAGGGGGGUCAUGGGGGGACAACUGCCAAGGGAGGCCCACGUCAAUUUCUGACAAUUUACGGCAGUUUUCGGCGUUGCCCGCAAAUUGCCGCAAACCUGAAAUUCCACGACAAUUUACAGUGCCGCAUACUGCCGAAAAUCCCACUUUUCAUGCAGUGAGGCUUUUGAUGGGGUCCUUGUAAGCACAUGGCAAGAUCAUUUUCGAACUAAACUUAAAUAAAUGGCAAUAUAGAAAUCACAAGUACAAAAUGUUGUACAUUGGACUGAGCCAGCAGUCUUAAUGUUGCAUUAGGACAGUGGUUUGAGACUAUUAUGCUAAGCACUUUGAUUUAACUUGUACUUAGUUUUGUGCCAAUUAGCAAAUCGUUGCAUGCUAAAGAUAGCAGACAUGGUGAACCUUAUACCUGCUAAUUGUUGGUAUGCUACAAACUUCUACAGAAAAUGAAUGAAUACAUAAAUUAGAGAAUCUAAAUAACAUCUGAGGCAACUCAGACUCUUAGUUUCACAUAAAUCUGGUGAUGAAGACCAAUGGUAAUUUGACCUGAUGAUGAGAUAGAUUAAAUGCCACAGGUAAUUUUAAGGUGUAACAAUUCAUCCGCCACACUGAUUAAUCAGGAAUCAGGCACAUUUAAUGCCAUAAUAUGUCAGACAUACAAGCGAUUUGACUUGGCGGUUAGUGCAUAACAGUAGACAGUACGGCAAUGGACGACAAGAUAACAGUGCACGAGGAAUAAAAUUAAAAUAAUGCUAUGGGUUACUUUAAAAUGAAAGAAUAAAAGUUAAAGUUAAAAAUAUUUAAAAAUUAAAAAUAAUUAAAGCUACAAGCAGCGAGAAACGGGCCUUCGCCUCCCCUUGCAUGUCGGGGGGGCAGCGGUCAGCCGGACACCCCGUCAAAAAGACAAAAAAAUCUGUGCCGGGUGUGGGAUUCGAAGUCUGGCUUCGUAAACCGAAUACUUCACCACUUGGCUACUUGCCUUGCUGUACAAAGACCUGCAAAAGCUAAACAAAUAUGUAGGAUCACCUCCAUUCAGUUGAGGCAAAGAAUGUGCGCUAAUCUAAAGUAUUAACUGUCUGGCAGAUAUAUUUUGCGAACUGAACACAUUGAAUGUGUCUCUGCAGAACACCUGUAUUUUAACAUGUCAGUCACGGUCAACUUGAUUAAUUAUUCUCAAGCCUACUCAGCUGAUAGGGAAGUGAUAUCUGUACAGCUGGAUCAAAGCUGAUGCCUUCAGAAGAGUCCACCUAGAUCCCAGCAGUUGCUGGGGCUGCUAUAUGAAAACAUGUAGGGAGCGCUAUCGAGCCAAAAUAAUAUAAAAAAACUACAUCUAUAACUGUUAAUGUGUUUUCCAAGUUUAGUAAAGAUUGGAUCAUAUUUAGUCCCUCAAAAGCACUUUCAUUUUAGUUGUCAUGGCAACAGCGUAACACAAAAACGUUUUUAAUAACUUAAUCACCGUGCAACCAUUUUGUCCAAAUUUGAAAAGGCUGUGACAAAGUCCCAGAGAGGCGUCAUCAAAGUACAGCAUCUAGAAAGUGCAUAAAAUAGAGGGAAUAUUGACCCCAAAAAAUUAUAACUCACUUUGAUUUUAGAGCAUGGUCCCAAGAUA
ensembl:lncRNA